rnacentral:rRNA from 1 species
CGUAGAGUAGUUUGACUCCGUCGCGUCAGGACGAACGCUGGCGGCGUGCUUAACACAUGCAAGUCGAACGCUGAAGCUUGGUGCUUGCACUGGGUGGAUGAGUGGCGAACGGGUGAGUAAUACGUGAGUAACCUGCCCUUGACUCUGGGAUAAGCCUGGGAAACUGGGUCUAAUACUGGAUAUGACCUCCUGUCGCAUGGUGGGGGUGGAAAGGGUUUGUACUGGUUGUGGAUGGGCUCACGGCCUAUCAGCUUGUUGGUGGGGUAAUGGCCUACCAAGGCGACGACGGGUAGCCGGCCUGAGAGGGUGACCGGCCACACUGGGACUGAGACACGGCCCAGACUCCUACGGGAGGCAGCAGUGGGGAAUAUUGCACAAUGGGCGCAAGCCUGAUGCAGCGACGCCGCGUGAGGGAUGACGGCCUUCGGGUUGUAAACCUCUUUCAGCACGGAAGAAGCGAAAGUGACGGUACGUGCAGAAGAAGCGCUGGCUAACUACGUG